rnacentral:rRNA from 1 species
UACAGAGGUCUCAAGCGUUGUUCGGAUUCAUUGGGCGUAAAGGGUGCGUAGGCGGCGCGGUAAGUCGGGUGUGAAAUCUCGGGGCUUAACUCCGAAACUGCAUUCGAUACUGCCGUGCUUGAGGACUGGAGAGGAGACUGGAAUUUACGGUGUAGCGGUGAAAUGCGUAGAUAUCGUAAGGAAGACCAGUGGCGAAGGCGGGUCUCUGGACAGUUCCUGACGCUGAGGCACGAAGGUCAGGGGGAGCAAACGGGG